GAUUUCCAGGAGAGUUCGGCUCAACAUCUUUCUACAGAGAGGACAUACAAAAUUAAAGAGAGAUGAAUUCAUACAUUAAUUCAAAGAGACCUAUGAGCUCCACAAGCCAAUGAAUAACCUUCACACUGACCUGGUUUAUUUAUCAAUAUGGCUGUGCUGGAAUGUUUUGUACUUCCAUAUGAGAUCUAUUAAACUUGUGCUGGAAUAGAGUAAGUUCAGUAAACUAGCAACAUGGCUUGCAACCAAAAGAUCUGGAGGUCGUGGAGGCAGAAAAUCACAAAUCAAAGGAAAUGGCUGAAUCUUCCCAACUGCAUGUGUUAAUGAUCUGUGCCCAGUCAUGUAAGAUCCUCCAUCAAAUGAUUGAUAAAUGGUUCCAUAACCAAAGGAGGGAGAGACCUGUUUGUUGCACCAUCUUCAAUUGAAUGAGAAUUCCUUCACAAGAACUGAUGCGAUUGUGGGCCUAUAAUACGGAAAGAAACAUCAAUAUGGAGAUACACUUCUGGAUGAUGUAGGUGGUAGUAUAUCGAGGAUGCAGAUGAGUCACUUGGAGUGUAAUUUCAUUUUUCAUUAAUGUGAAUAUUUUAUCUCGAUUUUUGUGUGAAACAUUUUCUCAUGUAAAUGAUUGAAAUAAAAGUACAUGAAUUUGUUUGGAAGUCAGUAAAUCCUACAAAGAAGGAUAUUGGUCAAAUAUUGGAUCAGGAAUCAAUUGAUAAUGUUUCUCUGAGGUACAAUAUUGUUACUGCCAAUACAUGUCUAAUAUCCUAAUUUGUGAGAUAGUUAUUCUGACUUGAUUUUUAUGAUGUGUGCAUGUCGAUUCUGUAGUGAGAAGGAAAUUAUUGAUAACAGAUAAAUUGUCAUUGGUUUAACUGAUACGACUAAAAAUGAAGCAUAUAUGUUUGUAUAGCUAAUUCAAAAUUCAUCAAUUACUCUUAUGUGUUUCCAAAACCAGAAGUUUCAUUCCCAUCAUUUUUAAAAUGGCUGCGGAUAUACGAGUAUAUAAUUCAAUAUUGUUGAAAAAAUUAUAUCAGUUUAUGACAAUGGACUAACCAUUAUUUUCAGUAUGAUACCUGAUUUGGUUUCUCACUCGUUUUCCUGGAUUCUACUAAUCUUUCAUAUUUAUAUUUGUUACUUCAUAACGAGUGUUCUUUGUUCUUUCUAUCUGGUUACAUGUUUCUGUUCUUCAUUUCCAGUUAUCAGUCUUCAGUUAAUGUAGUACCUUGUUCCAUAUUUAAAGUUUUUUUGUUAGUGUGUUGAUGUCACUACGUUGACCGAGUAUUAUAAAUUUUGAUUUUGUUCUUCAUAAGUUUAUUUCUUAAUAGGAUAUAGAAUACAAAGUGAUCUGUUUUUUGGGAGCUGUUAUGUAGCAAAAGGAGAUGCCGAUCAAUUAUUUAUCUGAUGAAAAUGAUUGAUUUUGUUGCGCCAUUUCUUUUAUUAUUGCUCUAUUCUAAACUGUAACAGAUAAAUAGAAAAUUUACAGGGACUUUUGCUGUUCUCCAGUUUUUAGAGGGAAAGCCAAAAAAGAUCUUUGCUGUGAAAUACCACUGAAUUGUGAGUUUAUCACUGUGUCUGUUAUGAAAUAUAACAAUGAGUCUCAUGAAAUGCAAUAUGUGGUUUUAAUAAAAUUGAUUAGGUGGGUCAUAGUGAAAUACGAUUUGUAGAAUGUGUCUCCAAAUCGCAAGAUUUUAUGAACUUUCUCAGGAAAGCAGAUGUGAAGUGUUGUACUGCUUAUAUUUUACAUCUUUGGGAAAUAUUACAUUGGGUCUUAUGAAAUGAAUAUGUGGGUCAUACUGAAAUAUGAUUUAUAGAAUAUACCUUCAAAUCGCAAGAUUCGAUGAAUUUCUUUCAGCAAAGUAGAUGUGAAUUGUUAUACUGCUCAUAUUUUAUAUCUCUAAUAGUUUCAAUAGAAUUGUGGGUCAUACUGAAAUACGAUUUGAAAAUGUGUUUUCAAAACGCUAGAUACAUGAUUCUCUUUCAGAAAAACAUAUGUUAAGUAUCAUAUUGCUAAUAUCUUAUAUUUGUUAUGAAAUAUAAAACUCGAUCUUAUAAAAUGUAGGUCAUAUUAUAUUAAAAUACAAUUUGUUGAAUAUAUCUUCAAAUUGCAAUAUACACGAUUUAAUUUCAGAAAUACAGAUGUGAAGUGUCGUAUUGGUAGUAUGUUAUAUUUGUUACAAAAUAUAAAACUUGAUAUUAUAAAAUGAAAUAUGUAGGUUGUACUGAAACUAAAUUUGUUGAAUGUGUCUUCAAAUUGCAAGAUACAUGUUUUUAUUUCAGAAAAACAUAUGUGAAGUGUUGUAUGGCUAAUUGUUAUGAAAUAUAACCCUUCAUCUUAUAAAUGGAAUAUGUGGGUCAUACUGAAAUACAAUUUGUUGAAUGUGUCUUUAAAUCGCAAGAUAUAUAAUUCUCUUUCAGGAAAAACGAUGUGAAUUGUUGUAUUGCUAAUAUUUUAUAGUUGUUGUGUAAUAAAACACUUGAUCUCAUGAA